UUAAGCGACUAAGCGUACACGGUGGAUGCCCUGGCAGUCAGAGGCGAUGAAGGACGUGCUAAUCUGCGAUAAGCGUCGGUGAGGUGAUAUGAACCGUUAUAACCGGCGAUUUCCGAAUGGGGAAACCCAGUGUGUUUCGACACACUAUCAUUAACUGAAUCCAUAGGUUAAUGAGGCGAACCGGGGGAACUGAAACAUCUAAGUACCCCGAGGAAAAGAAAUCAACCGAGAUUCCCCCAGUAGCGGCGAGCGAACGGGGAGGAGCCCAGAGCCUGAAUCAGUGUGUGUGUUAGUGGAAGCGUCUGGAAAGGCGCGCGAUACAGGGUGACAGCCCCGUACACAAAAAUGCACAUGCUGUGAGCUCGAUGAGUAGGGCGGGACACGUGGUAUCCUGUCUGAAUAUGGGGGGACCAUCCUCCAAGGCUAAAUACUCCUGACUGACCGAUAGUGAACCAGUACCGUGAGGGAAAGGCGAAAAGAACCCCGGCGAGGGGAGUGAAAAAGAACCUGAAACCGUGUACGUACAAGCAGUGGGAGCCUCUUAAUGGGGUGACUGCGUACCUUUUGUAUAAUGGGUCAGCGACUUAUAUUCUGUAGCAAGGUUAACCGAAUAGGGGAGCCGAAGGGAAACCGAGUCUUAACUGGGCGUUAAGUUGCAGGGUAUAGACCCGAAACCCGGUGAUCUAGCCAUGGGCAGGUUGAAGGUUGGGUAACACUAACUGGAGGACCGAACCGACUAAUGUUGAAAAAUUAGCGGAUGACUUGUGGCUGGGGGUGAAAGGCCAAUCAAACCGGGAGAUAGCUGGUUCUCCCCGAAAGCUAUUUAGGUAGCGCCUCGUGAAUUCAUCUCCGGGGGUAGAGCACUGUUUCGGCAAGGGGGUCAUCCCGACUUACCAACCCGAUGCAAACUGCGAAUACCGGAGAAUGUUAUCACGGGAGACACACGGCGGGUGCUAACGUCCGUCGUGAAGAGGGAAACAACCCAGACCGCCAGCUAAGGUCCCAAAGUCAUGGUUAAGUGGGAAACGAUGUGGGAAGGCCCAGACAGCCAGGAUGUUGGCUUAGAAGCAGCCAUCAUUUAAAGAAAGCGUAAUAGCUCACUGGUCGAGUCGGCCUGCGCGGAAGAUGUAACGGGGCUAAACCAUGCACCGAAGCUGCGGCAGCGACACUAUGUGUUGUUGGGUAGGGGAGCGUUCUGUAAGCCUGUGAAGGUGGCCUGUGAGGGUUGCUGGAGGUAUCAGAAGUGCGAAUGCUGACAUAAGUAACGAUAAAGCGGGUGAAAAGCCCGCUCGCCGGAAGACCAAGGGUUCCUGUCCAACGUUAAUCGGGGCAGGGUGAGUCGACCCCUAAGGCGAGGCCGAAAGGCGUAGUCGAUGGGAAACAGGUUAAUAUUCCUGUACUUGGUGUUACUGCGAAGGGGGGACGGAGAAGGCUAUGUUGGCCGGGCGACGGUUGUCCCGGUUUAAGCGUGUAGGCUGGUUUUCCAGGCAAAUCCGGAAAACCAAGGCUGAGGCGUGAUGACGAGGCACUACGGUGCUGAAGCGACAAAUGCCCUGCUUCCAGGAAAAGCCUCUAAGCAUCAGGUAACAUCAAAUCGUACCCCAAACCGACACAGGUGGUCAGGUAGAGAAUACCAAGGCGCUUGAGAGAACUCGGGUGAAGGAACUAGGCAAAAUGGUGCCGUAACUUCGGGAGAAGGCACGCUGAUAUGUAGGUGAAGCGACUUGCUCGUGGAGCUGAAAUCAGUCGAAGAUACCAGCUGGCUGCAACUGUUUAUUAAAAACACAGCACUGUGCAAACACGAAAGUGGACGUAUACGGUGUGACGCCUGCCCGGUGCCGGAAGGUUAAUUGAUGGGGUUAGCGGUAACGCGAAGCUCUUGAUCGAAGCCCCGGUAAACGGCGGCCGUAACUAUAACGGUCCUAAGGUAGCGAAAUUCCUUGUCGGGUAAGUUCCGACCUGCACGAAUGGCGUAAUGAUGGCCAGGCUGUCUCCACCCGAGACUCAGUGAAAUUGAACUCGCUGUGAAGAUGCAGUGUACCCGCGGCAAGACGGAAAGACCCCGUGAACCUUUACUAUAGCUUGACACUGAACAUUGAGCCUUGAUGUGUAGGAUAGGUGGGAGGCUUUGAAGUGUGGACGCCAGUCUGCAUGGAGCCGACCUUGAAAUACCACCCUUUAAUGUUUGAUGUUCUAACGUUGGCCCCU
rnacentral:rRNA from 1 species